rnacentral:rRNA from 1 species
CACGCAGGCGGUUUGUUAAGCUAGAUGUGAAAGCCCCGGGCUCAACCUGGGACGGUCAUUUAGAACUGGCAGACUAGAGUCUUGGAGAGGGGAGUGGAAUUCCAGGUGUAGCGGUGAAAUGCGUAGAUAUCUGGAGGAACAUCAGUGGCGAAGGCGACUCCCUGGCCAAAGACUGACGCUCAUGUGCGAAAGUGUGGGUAGCGAACA